rnacentral:rRNA from 1 species
UACGUAGGGUGCAAGCGUUAAUCGGAAUUACUGGGCGUAGAGCGUGCGCAGGCGGUUAUGUAAGACAGUUGUGAAAUCCCCGGGCUCAACCUGGGAACUGCAUCUGUGACUGCAUAGCUAGAGUACGGUAGAGGGGGAUGGAAUUCCGCGUGUAGCAGUGAAAUGCGUAGAUAUGCGGAGGAACACCGAUGGCGAAGGCAAUCCCCCUGGACCUGUACUGACGCUCAUGCACGAAAGCGUGGGGAGCAAACGAGG